GGCGCGUUCGUCUAGUGGUCUAGGACGCCGGCCUCUCACGCCGGUAGCACGGGUUCGACUCCCGUACGCGCUA
rnacentral:tRNA from 1 species